UACUUCAGCGAUUACAGCAGCCUCCAUGAGGAAAACCUGAACAAGAAGGCUUGUUUAUCAAAAACCUUCAUCUCCGUUUAGUACUCUCAAUCUUUCAGUAUCUCUGUAUCUCGCUCUCAAUCUCUCUUCCUCUUUAUCGAAGAAGAUUCAUUAAAAUCAACAACAAGAUGAAGAACUGGUUGCUUAAUGGGUUCUUGUAAUAUCCUUUGAGUUUUGUUCAAAAUCAAUACUUCUAUUUAGCGAUUUUAGAGCUGAUUGUUUAGGUUUUGAUCUUGUUUUUGAUUAAUGUUGUUUGUUUGGAGCGACAAAGAAAGCCUAAAAUCCAGAACACAGAUUCCUCUUCAAACAUCAUCAUCAAUAGCUGAAGAUGAUCAAGAUAUGUGUGAUUGAGGGUUCCCAAACUUUGGAAUUUAUGUGAUGAUCUUUAUUUUCUAAACUGUUUUUUGAGGAUUUGCAUGGGGAAUUUAGCCAGUGAAAAAUCAAUACUACAAAUAUUUGAUGGGGAUGAUUUUGUUGACAGAACAACCAGAAUCUCAAGGUGGUGUUGUUGCUAAGAAGGAAAAUUAUACUACUUCAUGUAAGGUUUAACUCUAAAUAUUGCUUCUCAUACAACUUUCACUUACCUAGAGACGAGAGCUAGUUGUUGCCGCAAAUAAGUUCAAAGAAGAAUGUGCUUUUGGUGAAGGAGGUUUUGGAGGUGUAUAUAAGAGUUAUCUUGAAACACUGGUCAGGAAGGAGUCUAAGAAGGCAAUAAAUUUACUAGUAAAGGACUUGAAGGUGUUUGAAACGUUUGAGGAGAAGGUGUGUGCGCAUAUGACUGGACUCUUGGAGUUUGAUAACUUCAGGGAAAAUGAGCAUUUUAAAAUGUAUGUCAAUGAAAAUGAUGCACGUGUAACUUUGUUUGAUGCAGCCGAAAAAUUGAUUCAAGCUAAUCCACUUUUGAAUGACUAGUUAAAUUUUUCAACCCUUAAGGAGUUGAGGCUGCAAUCUCUCGUUAAGCAGAGGUUAUGCAUAUCGUAACCUAGAAAACAUGACAUUCGCAGCCAACCAUUGCAAUCUCAAGAAGGUUAACACCUUGUGUAUAUCUCUGCAGGAAGUGUUGGUCACCUUCAAAAAGCCGUAGGAUCCGGGAGAGGGCUGAUGCCCUAGAUGCUGCUGGAAACACCACUGCUGCUAUUGAAAAGGGGUUUGCCAUUGGAUCGGAUGUUCUUUUGUAUCUCUUGUACUUUUGGUGCCUUGGUGAGUUGUCCAUCUAUUUAAAGUGUGGAUGUUCUUAUGACAAUCAUGUAAGCACAAUUCUGUGAAAUUUAAAGUAUUAUUAUUACAGUUUAUUUCAAGUACGAAAGCUUUGUGCCAUUAUUCCCUAACAUCGACUGAAUUUCCUUAUGCGUAUUUGACAAAUUGAUAAUUUCCUUAUGUGUAUUCUGAAUUUCCUUUGUACUUGACUAUAAUUAAGGUUUUAACCUUCAAUUGUACACUUUCUUGCGAGGUACAACGCUUAUCAAAUUGCUACUGGAUUAUGUUGUUGGUGACCUUCAUCUGGUGACGUUCAAAGAACUAGAGUCAUCUAAGAAUGCUUGUGAAUAAGCUACACCCAUGAUUACUGGCUAUAGAGCUAAUUGUAACCUGUAUUCACUAGGUGCACAUCAUCCUAGGGUGAUUACUUACGCUGCAUCGAACCAACAAGGUACAAAGAGUCAUCUUCUUGUAUCUAGAAGUUAGUGUACCUUCUUGUAUCUAGAAGUUAUGAAUCAUCUGAAAGUUGAACUCACCAUGAACCUAAGUAUCAUUGAUGUAAGGACCCUCAAACUCGUCAACGCUAUUAUACUAGUCAAGAGAUGUAUUAGCCGAUAAUAACUCGAUUAGCUUAACAUGGAGGUUAAUCAAUAGGAAUUAAUAUUACAACGAUCUAGAUACGAAAUUAGUGCCGCUGGAUAGAUCUCGAAAAGUUAUGCGAAAUGGACUACUCAAACGCGUCAUUCGGACACCGGACAAAGAAGAUAUCUUCAGAUAUGUACGAAGGGUAAAAUUAUCAUUAUUCAUCAUAACCGCUUGGCUUCCCAUAUCAUUUGGGUAGGUGCAUUUAUCAAUUGUCUUUGUCCUUAUCAAAACCGAUCGAGCAUAUAAGCUCAUUCACUUCUUUUCCUUCUCUUUCUUCUUCUUCAUUCUUUUCUCUUCCUCCUCUCCGUUCUUCACCUGCAGGUGAAUCAAGUUAUUGAAAUAAAGAGAUUUUUAUAUUGAGAGAGAGGUGGGGAUGUUUGACUAUUGGUUGCUGUUGGUGGUGCUGUUAUUGGUUAGCUCUGAGAAGAAGAGGAGAUGUUGAUGCUGCUGUAAAUUAGAAUUAGGGUUUUCUCAGAAGGUUGUUUAGGAAUUACGAUUAGUGGUGAAUAAGAAGAAAUAAGGAGUGGGUUUAUUCGAUUGAGAGAAGAGUUGAAGUUCAAUUAAAGUUUGAAGUUGUUUUGCAGACUAUAUGAGAAUUAGGGUUGUGUUCUGUUCUUUCCCAAAUUAAGAAUUAGGGUUUUGUUAAAGCAGUUGAGAAAUCAGAUGAGAUAAAAUAUGGUUUUGGUUGAUUAAGUGGGUUAGAAUCAAGAGCAUAUGAUGAUGUUGGUGUUGAUUCGGGAGUUGGUUCAGUUCAGAAAUUGGAGUAAGAGGUAAAUUAGAAUUCUUAGAUUUAUUUUCUUUUGUUUAUGUUUAGUGAAUUCGAUAAUUAAUUGUUUCAUGGUUAAAUUGAAGUUAGAUGGAGUACAUGGAGUUCCGGUUUUGGUUUAUUUGUGAAAUCAAGCGUCAUAAUUAGGAUUUAUGUGGAUCAUUUGGGAAUACAAAUUUAAGGUUGUUGAUAAAGGAGUGGGGUUGUGUUGAGAUAACUAAAUAUGCUUAUGUUAUUGUUGUGUGUUUUGAUGAUACUAAACCUGAAGAACAUAGAGUUGUGGUGUUGUUAGUGAGAACAUGGCAGCUAGAGGAGUAAUCUGGUGGUGGUUCAGAUAUUGAGCUUAAUAGAUGAGCCAUGAGUCUCUGGCGGUGAUUGUAGGGUUAUAUGAAUGGAUGUGCAGUGUUGUUAUAGUUGAAUAUAUGUAUAUUUGAAUUGAGAUUUCAGAGCAGAAGAUGAGUUACAGGGAGGUAGGUUGAACGUUGUUGGUGGUGAUGGAUAUAUGGGUGGAGUUAUAGUUGAAUGUCAGGUUCUGGGAGUUGUAAAUGAAAUCAAAUUGGUAGUGUUGUUGGAAUUAGAAGUGUGAUGGUUUGGUACUGCUAACGGGGGGUAUGUGGUUGUGAGUUGAAUUGGUGGUUUAGAUGACUUGUAUUGAUGAAGCUGAGAUUGUGCUUAGUUUAGUAGUGAUUAUAAAAUUGUAGAAUGUAUUCCUGUGAAAGCUUGGAAGCUUGCAACUACAGCAAUUGUAGGUAAUCAAAGUUGUUGUUGUAAAUGAUUUAUGAAGUUUAAGUUAAGGUUAUGUAUUGUUGUGUUGAUUGAUUGUUAGAACUGAUUUGAGAUAAAUAUUGAUAUUGUUAGAAAAGGGAUGGAAUGAAGUCUGUAGUAGAGCUUUGGUCUGUCUGACUGAGCUUAUUCAGUCUGACUCAGAUUAUUUCUCGUCUGACUCAGUAUCUGACUCAGCUGAAUCGUAUUGACCACUGAGUUACCUGAGUUGACUCAGUUAACCGAUUUAGACUUGAUCAUUGACCCUGGACUUUGACUCCGUCGACUGUUAGUUGACCUUUUUGACU